rfam:Schistosoma rodhaini strain Burundi genome assembly, scaffold: SROB_scaffold0004212
AUCCAGCUGAAUGAUCCGAAAUAGAACUAAACGCGCGUCCUGGAU